AUUUAAAUUCCACGCUCUGUUGUAUCAAGGUGACGCACAUCAGCCUAUUUAAUGUACGGGCACUGCAAACAAUAGGCAAAACAGUUUGCUGCAGACAUCUCUUAGGUUGCGUAUAUCCACGAGCUAUUCUACUUAAGACAUUAACGUGACUGCUCCUUUGCGGAUAAUGUAAAAGUAUACGUCCAGCCUGUGAGACGAAAACGUCUGGUCGACAGCGUUUUAGGCAUCUGAAUACUGGAUGUUGAUUACCACGAUGGUAUUGGAUCGCAGACAUCGCAGUCUUUACAUUAAUAUCGCUUUAAAUUUGUAUAUACUUAUGUUAAAAAUAAUUGGUAUACACAGCCAGAACAGACAGUCAUAUGCAGCUGUUGGUACUUUUAAUUCAUUUGUAUUGGAUAGCACGUUGUAUUACUUUUUUAAAUGUGAUGUAUAAUUAGUGUUUAAUGUCAUACUUUUCACCCAUAAUGCUAAUUUAUAUUGUUUUAUCUGUGAAUGCAAUAAAGUUUUAUGAAAUCAU